rnacentral:rRNA from 1 species
CCUACGGGGUGCAGCAGUGGGGAAUAUUGGACAAUGGGCGAAAGCCUGAUCCAGCCAUGCCGCGUGUGUGAAGAAGGCCUUCGGGUUGUAAAGCACUUUCAGUGGGGAAGAAAGCCUUGGGGCUAAUACCCUCGAGGAAGGACAUCACCCACAGAAGAAGCACCGGCUAACUCCGUGCCAGCAGCCGCGGUAAUACGGAGGGUGCGAGCGUUAAUCGGAAUUACUGGGCGUAAAGCGCGCGUAGGCGGUCUGAUAAGCCGGUUGUGAAAGCCCCGGGCUCAACCUGGGAACGGCAUCCGGAACUGUCAGGCUAGAGUGCAGGAGAGGAAGGCAGAAUUCCCGGUGUAGCGGUGAAAUGCGUAGAGAUCGGGAGGAAUACCAGUGGCGAAGGCGGCCUUCUGGACUGACACUGACGCUGAGGUGCGAAAGCGUGGGUAGCAAACAGGAUUAAUACCCGAGUAGUC